rfam:Brachypodium distachyon strain Bd21 chromosome 4, whole genome shotgun sequence.
UUUUUACUCUCUCCGUUCAACAAAAUAUGUCUUAAGUUUGUCAAAAUUUGGAUGUAUCUAGACAUGACUUAGUGUAUAGAUGCAUUCAAAUUUAGUCAAAUUGAGACAUUUUUUGCUGGAUGGAGGAAGUACAAA